AACCGAUUGAACCGAAGUGACUCGAUUUGAUUCGAUUUUUCGGUUUGAACCGAAUUCUGCUCAGCCCUAGCCUUGGACUUGCGCCGCAUCAGAAGAUAGAAGAAGACUUCCUGGUGGUGAUGAAAGGCAACGAGGAACAGUUAUGGGUGGAUGGAUGUAACAGGGGACAAUCAAUACUGAUGAGACUGGGCUGUAGAAGCAAAAAUAGUUGAAGUAAAACUAACCAAGACAGAGGGAUGAAAGAUCCCAAAUGAAGGAAGAGUACAAGGGAGAACCCAAAUGAAACAGAGAUAGGAAACAGUCUCAGAGAGAAGGGCUUUCCCCCGGAAGAUGUAGUUAAGAGAAUAAUGAAGAGUUGUUAUGCCAACCGUUGGUUAUCUCAUAUCUCAUAUACGUAUGUGUGUGUCUUUAGCUUUGUUAAUUACAUUAGUCUUAGAUGAUGAAAUAAAAGAAAGUGUCUUCCUUUAUACA